AUGUGUCUGUCUGCUAUGUUUGAGAAUAAUAGUGAUAGUGGUAAAACAUAUGGUAAUUUGUUGUGUUUGUUUUUUCCAUUACGUUUGCCACUACUUUUGUCACUACUUUUGCCACUACGUUUGCCACUACUUUUACCACUACUUUUGCCAUUACGUUUGCCACUACUUUUUCCACUACUUUUUCCAUUAUUUUUUCCAUUAUUUUUUCCAUUAUUUUUUCCAUUAUUUUUUCCAUUUUUUUUUCCAUUAUUUUUUCCAUUUUUUAUUUCCAUAUUUGUAUUACCUACUACAAUGUUAGUUAAAUUAUUGUUACAUAACAUAACUUUAUUAUUCAUAAAAUCCAUGUAAUUAUAAAAAUUUUUGUUUAAAAAUAAUAAAAAAGAUUUAUAAGUACA
rnacentral:lncRNA from 1 species